UACGAAGGGGGCGAGCGUUAUUCGGAAUCACUGGGCGUAAAGCGUGCGUAGGCUGUUUGACAAGUUGGGAGUGAAAGCCCAGGGCUCAACCCUGGAAUUGCUCUCAAAACUGUCAGACUCGAAUCUCGGAGAGGAUAGCGGAAUUUCCAGUGUAGUAGUGAAAUACGUAGAUAUUGGAAGGAACACCAGUGGCGCAAGCGGCUAUCUGGACGAGUAUUGACGCUGAGGCACGAAAGCGUGGGGAUCAAACAGG
rnacentral:rRNA from 1 species